GCUCUUGGCAGUUGAGAUUCAGACCUUGACAGUUGUAACCGAUAGACUGGGCUGGGGCAACGCUGAUGAAAGGCAAAUUCCUGAGAGAAAAAUCACCCAGAUUUUUCAGUGCCUUCUCUAGCUUUCUAGAAGUUGUUAUGAGUGGACCUGACUACCUAGAGAGAGUAAUACAGAAGCUCCGUGCCGAUCACAGCUACCUCAUUACCAUGUUCCUCCAAGAUGGCCGCCCCUGAGGAGAAUCAUCAACUGGGCUUUACGGAAGAGAGAAAUCCAAACGACCAUCAGCAACAAAUGAAAGACUGAAGUUGAAAGUUUCAAGAUUGUCAAGAAUGACGAGUUGGACUUGGUCUAGUUACUUCCACAGCAGCAGGAGGAACAUGUGUGUGACUCAGGAUAACUGGGGAAGCCUUGGCUAGGCUUUCCUCAUGUCAACCUACCACUCAAAGGGAGAAAACCUCCUGAUCAGAGGAAAUCCAUAAUUUUUGAAUGCUGGCCGAGGUCUGUGACCUCUGACUGAAUGGUUUCCAAGCUCCGAAUUCCUAGGUGAUGUUUUCAUUUGUUCACACUUGCUGAAGAAGGGAAAGGCUCUCUGAUUUACGUGUAAGCAAAACAAUCUAAACAGUAGGAUAAAAUCAUGUUGGAAUGGAGUUCUGUGUGGAUGCUCCUUUGAACCAAAUCAGUUCCACAACUGACCCUGUCAGGGACAUAUAAAUUUAGCAUUUUGGUGUGGAUACAGAAGACGAGAUUAACACAGAUCAAGUAACAUGGAAAUAAAAAAGGAGACAAUGCUGGAUGAUACAGGGGCAGCCAACAAGAGGAGAAAACCCAAGCAUUGGCAAAUGCCUCAUUAUCCAAAGAACACUCCUUAUACUCCUGAGAAUUUGUGGCAGUCCUGGGUUAAACGAUGAAGGCUUCUUAUUCUCAUGUAGGUCUCACAGCCUCUUGUCUCCCUGAGUUUUAAACACAUUGCAUUACCUUUCCAGAGGAGGUGUGGAGCAAAACUGUGUUGAAUGAACUGUAGAUGGAAAUUCUCUCCUUCCCACCGAGGAGCCGCUGCAGGUUGCAGACUCCCAGAAUGCCACACUGAGAAGAGGAGGGCUAAAAUUCUAGAGCAGAAUCCCUGGGGCAGCCCCUGCUGAAGAAGGGUGCAUCUGUUGAGAAUCUCAUCACCGCCCCCACCCCGCCCAGCCUUCAAUUUAGAGGAAUUUCUAGUUCACGCAGAAUGAAGACAAGAUCACAUAAGUGAGGACGACGCCCCAUUUACAAGUGUGAUUUGGAAGACUGAAGUGGAAACCUUGGGAAGGGGCCUCAGAGUAUGUCAGCUGGGGUCAGACGGGAACAGGAGUCUGGCUCAACACACAUUUAUUGCACUCCUGUUUCAUGCCAAGAAAUGUACCAAAAUCUGGGACUGUGUAACACAGCAAAGGAAAAGACUCAUCUCCAGGAAGCCCCCUUGUCUAGGAAGAGAAAUUGAAUAUCAGCAUAAGGUGGUGAAAAGCUGUGAAGGAGAUGAGUGCCAGGAGUCCAUGGAGGAAGGAUUCUAGCCUGGACAGGUGAGGAAUGGCUUUCUGGAAGAAGCAGAUGCCCCAGCUGAACUUUAAAAUGCCCAUGUGAAAUGAACUGUCUGUAUCUUCAAUCAGCAAAUGGAGUAGGUGGCCACUGUUUAAUUCUGGAAUGGGGAAGUGUAAAGGUGUGGUGUGUGUGUUUACCCCUACUUAGGGAUUCAAAACAGACAGUAAAGAACAAAAGUCUAGCCCUUUGAGCAUUCUCCAUGGGACAUUUGAGGUCUAGCUGGCCCCAGAGAAAGAGAGACAGAAGCAAGGUCAUAUCCAUUUGAGAAAAUCAAAGUGUCUGCUCCAAUUGAGUCUGGUGUCCUUAUUCCUGGAAUAGCCAUCCCUACUGCUCUGGUGCUGAUUUACCUCCGGCAGUUCAGUGCUUCCUGGAAGGUAGGCUGGGCUUUUUAACAAAGUGACUCCUUACUUGACAUGUUUUACCCAAACACAGAGGCCACUGCACUAUGUGCAAGAAACAACAAAAAAUUAAAUGAGACUCAAUGCCUUCCUUAGGGAUCUAAAACCCCAGUAACACAGAUAAACAGGUAAACAAAUAAUGUGAUGGUGUGAUUCUAUAGCAACAGGAAUAGAGCACUGCAGGGCCACCGAAGGAAAAGGUGAUGACCUGGCUUGGAUUCAGUGAUAAAAAGGGGCUUACCUCCUUUCUCUGUUUCUGCUAAAAGCCAGUGAUUACCCCCUGCUUUUCCCAUGUUGGGCAUAGCUGUAAGUACUUUAGACAUAGCGGCACAUUUAAUCAUCAUGCAACAAUAAGAGGAAGCUGAGGCAGACAGAAGUGCCCAAAGUCACAUACUUGAAGCCAGGACUUGAACCUGGGCUAUCUGGCUCCUGAAUCCAUGGCUUUCACUAAUAAUGACUUACCCUCCAAUGAGGAACAAGCUCCAUUCUGGCCUUUCUUUAGCGAAGGCAACUGCCUGAGCUCAUGGUCUGAUCUGGCUUCUGGGAAAGAGAAAGCAGGGGAAACGUCUAGAGAUGGCAUACUGGGAGAAGAAAUUUCUUGCUGUGGAAUCCUGCCCCCAUCUCCCUCCCCACCAUACACAAUCCCACGUGCAUUUACACCUACACGCCGUGUACACACGAACAUUUUUUCUGCUACUCCCAUGGGCCCCAACUCUGCCUUUUCAUCAAAAUCACCCAGAGUUUUAAAUAAAAUGCAGAUGUUGAGGCUUGUUCCUAAAUUAUAAUCUUGGGCAUCUAAAUUUUUUGAUUAAAAAAAAUUGACAUGCAUGCUUAAAGUAAAAAUUUAGACAAUACAGCAAAGAAUGUGUUUGUACCCCUCCCACCUAGCCCUUAGUUCUUCCGAAAGGCAAAUACUUAACCGUUCCUUGUUAUCCUUCCAGAAAACAAUAUAUGCAUAUAUUCAUCUUUUUUUUCUUCUUCCUCUGUAGGUGAUUGUGGUGAAUAGUCAUGAGAAUCUGGGAACUGGCUCCUGCUCUGUCUAUCUUGGAGAUGCAUCUUUUGUGAGAAGCCAGGGCAAGAAUAGGGAGGCUUAGGCAAUGGGAAGUUUCUGAGUAGAUAAAGCAGAUGGCAGAGCAAAGGGACAGAGCCUGGCGAGAGGCUACUCCCUGUAGCAACCUGCCUAAGAGUGAGAGGAAAGCAAGGCAUGGCUAUGAGCACGUGUAGUCUCAGCUACUUGGGAAGCUGAGGCUGGGGGAUCACUUGAGCCCAGGAGUUCAAGACCAGCCUAGGCAACAUAGUGAGACCAUGUCUCUUUAAAAAAAAAAAAAAAAAGAAAAA
ensembl:lncRNA LINC01206 long intergenic non-protein coding RNA 1206